GAUCACGUCUCCGGCUAAGUUCUUAGCCAGGUUCUGGUCUAGUGAAUCUAUAUCGAAUUGGAGAUACUCGGCCGGUUUACCUAAACCAAACGGAUCAAACCCGUAAUCUCCAACCAACGAACCGUCGAGCCAGUCAGGAGAUUUGGCGCCUGGGAACCAGAGAGGCCGGUCCGAAGUCACCUUCUUGGGCGCGGUCUUUUUGGGAGCUUUCUUUCCGAACCCAAACCGGGCUGUAAACCGACCAGAACCGGAAUGGAUACCGGGAGCCACCCGAGUACCCAUGAUGGAAGAAGCAGCGGCAGCGGUUGAAGUUGCGGCCAUCUCGGGCGGUGUGUGUUUUGUUAGAUUUUUUGUGAUUUCAGGAGAUGGAAGGAACUUGUGUUUCUUUAAUCCGAGAUUAUAGAUGCCAUGAGGAUAGACGAUUUUUCUUUCGAUCUGGGGUGAUCUUGGAGAGGCGAUCAUUACCGUUGGAUCGAUUGACAAAAUCCAUCUGACGGUGAAAAACACUAUCUACCUUAUCUAUUGAAUUCUGCGUUAUCUGAGUGAUGUUUCAAGUUUCCAACUGGCGAUAGAAUCUGGAUGAGCUAUAAUCUGAUUGGGUAGAUUAACUUCUUUUCGAAUUAAACAAAGCCACGUGUAAUAGUGAUACUGUCCCACCAUCGGUUUGAUACCAGCUGACCGGUCUGAUCGUAAAACCAAUCGAUCCCUACCUAAACCAAAUUAUGCGUAACUGAAAUGUAGAAAAGAAAGCCACUGCUUUCAUAUCAUUCCAUAUUGAUUUUCUUUAAACCAAGACAAACUACAAUCUGAAUUUAGUGGCAAAUGUAUACUACAUAUAUUGGAAAAUGAGGAUCAAUAAAUGUCAAAUAACCAGAGGUUUGUUUUGUUA
rnacentral:lncRNA from 1 species